GGCAGCUGUGAAGCCCAGAUGCUGAGCUCUAGCAUGCAAUUUUCCAUGAGCAGCAUCUGGGUGUUUGGUUGGCCUUUUAUCUGGCUUAUGCUGCCUGUCACAGUGGCUGCAGAAAGUCUGUGUGGCUGGCGCAGGAUUAGCCUGCUGGACUAUUUUCUUCUCUUGAAUGUCAGUUUUUUUUUCUUUUUCCCCCAUUUAUAGUCAAUAGACAUGCAUGUAUCCCAUUCUAUGCAUGAAAGUUCAGAGAAUCCAGCUUUUCAGCCAUUUCUAAUAGGAUGCCUUUCAAAAAGGCAUCUCAUUCGAUAUAUAUAUAUGCCUUGCUUUGGAAAGAAUAUUAAGGUCUUUUUUUCAAUGACAUUAAAUGUGGCGCCUGAUGGUAAUACCAGGUAGACACUGGCAAAACAAAGUAUAUAUAGCAAGGAUUCCCCAAGAAUCAUAAAGUAUCUUCAAUAUCACUAGAGUGCACAUUAUCCCCCUGCUUGUUUUGUAGUCCUUUCCAGCUUCACCACUGCCAUCACCAAAUCUGAUGCUGCUAAUAAAGGACAAAUUUUCUUUUCAGAAACAAUGAUAUCCCUUGCUUCAACUCAGAAUCAUGCUCCAGUCUCUCACCUACAGCAAGAUGGACCCUAACCCAGUAACAAAAAACGUAGCAAGUUCCAUAACAAAUAAGAGGAAAUGAGCAAGGAUUUAUAAUAAUGCUUCUUUCAAAAAAAAGUGGCAUCUCAUCAUGUGGCAAUGCAGUUCUUGUUCUGGAAAUAACAAAGUUAUAAGCUGGAUAGAUGCAGGGAACGCCGUGGAUGUAGCAUAUCUGGAUUUCAAUAAGGCCUUCAACAAGGUCUCCCAUGAGCUUCUGGCAAACAAACUAGUCAAAUGUGGGCUAGGAAAAACUACAGUUACGCGGAUCUGUAAUUAGUCAAGUGAAUGACUGCUCACCAAAUGCUACCUCUUCAUCCUGGAAAGAAGUGACAAGUGGAGUGCCUCAGGGUUCUAUCCUGGGUCGAGUUCUGUUCAAACUUUAUUUAUUAAUGACUUAGAUGAAGGGUUAGAAGGCAUGAUCAUCAAGUUCACAGGCAAAUUGGGAGGGAUAGCCAAUACUCCAGAAGACAGGAGCAGAAUUCAAAAUGACCUUAACAGAUUACAGAGAUGGGCCAAAAUUAACAAAAUGAAGUUCAACAGGAAAAAAUGCAAGAUACUCCACUUAGGCAGACGAAAUGAAAUGCAAAGAUACAGAAUGGGGGGUGCCUUGCUUGAUAGCAGUACGUAGACAGGAAGGUGAACAUGAGCCAACAAAGAGAUGCAGCGGGAAAAAAAGCCAAUGAGAUUUUGGCCUGCAUAUAUAGGAGUAUAGUGUCUAGAUCCAGGGAAGUCAUGCUACCCCUCUAUUCUGCCUUGGUCAGACCACACCUGGAAUACUGUGUCCAAUUCUGGGCACUGCAAUUUAAAGGAAAUGUUGACAAGUUGGAAUGUGUCCAGAGAAGGGCGACUAAAAUGAUCAAGGUUCUGGAGAACAAGCCCUAUGAGAAGCCACUUAAAGAGCUGGGCAUGUUUAGCCUGCAGAAGAGAAGGCUGAGAGGAGACAUGGUAGCCAUGUAUAUGCAAGGGGAAGUCAUAGGGAGGCAGGAGCAAGCUUGUUUUCUGCUGCCCUGGAGACUAGGACAUGGAAUAACAGCUUCAAACUAUAGGAAAGGAGAUUCCAUUUGAACAUUUAAUCCACGAAGUCUCUUCCAACUCUAUGAAUAUAUGAUUCUAUGAUUUUUAACUCUUUCAGAACAUAUCUAAAGCUAUAUGAAGUUGUUUUUACGAAAUAAAUGUUACACUCAUUGCAUGUGCUUGCCAGAAUACAAAUAUGUUAUCUCAAAAAAGGUGUGGGGCUGCCUUCUUCCAUUGUUCCUGUUAUUUUUGUGAUUUCUUAAUGGAUUCAAAGGACAGAAUUUUUCAAGCUCCUAUCAUAUCAUCAUCUAAAUAUUUCUCACCAUUGAGAUGUUAAACACCAAGAAUAUCAGAUUAAUUUCAGUUUUUCAAAAGUGAGAUUUCAUAACAAAACCACAGCUGCUCAAGAAUUCCAUUUGAUCUUUGACUUUUAUUUGAUAAUAAGUCUGUACUGAGGCUCUACAUAAAAAUUAUAGUGGCUUGGAAAUAAUCCCCAAAAAUUAUGUAAGUCAUUGUGCAUUUCUAGAUAUUUUUGUGGAUCAUUUCUACAAUAUAUAACUCAUUUAGAAGACCACAGUUGAGUUGAAAGAGUUUUGGAGAUUUUGUUCCAUUAAGGUGAUGUUUAGAUCUGGUGACAGAAUAAGGCAUUUUGUCUGAACUUAGAAUACAUUUGGAGGCACGCUAAUCAAGAUCAGGAAGAAAAUGGAAACAAUCCUCAAUACUAGAUACUAGAUCUUUUUGCAUUAAAGUCAGACCUUGGGAAAGUUACCUAGACUACAAUCCCCCAAAUCCUCAGUAAAGGUGGCCAUUGCUUGAGAUGGCUGUGGGGUCUUAGGAGUCAAUAAAGACAGGAAAUAUUUCUAAGUGCUGCUUUUUCAUGUUUGGGCCAAAUACAUAUGCCUGUGCUGCUAGGAGAACAAAUAUGCACAUAAUUCUGAUACAUGAAAAAACUUGAAGCACAUGGAAUUAGGGAGUUUUCUAUGACAGUCAUAGGAAAAUCUUGAUUUCAUUUUCAGUUUUGACUUGAAAUAGUGAAGGCAAAAUUGGGCACCUGAAUUAGGCUGAAUAUGCAAAUUAUUAAAACAAUGGCUGUUACAAGAAAGGGAACUAAUAACAAACUAAGUUUGGAAUCUGAAAAGAUGAUCACAUAUAAUGUAAAUAUAAUUUAUCCAAUUUCAGCCAUGGAACAUUGCAUUUUCUACAUUCUCUCUCUCUCUUUCACACACACACGCAAACACACUAAUACACAACAUAACAUUUAUUUAGAUACAAAAUAUUCCAUACUCAGCAAGCACUUUGAAAGGUUGUUUUAUGACAUCUGCGAUCUAUCAUAAAAGUUGGCAAUGGUCAGCAUUUUUUUUAUUUCACUCUUGCUUCACACUAUGUAAUACUAUUAUGCUUUGCUUUUAAGAAAGUAUAAUGCAAAAUGGAAAGGUGAGACACAGGCUGGAACCAGUACUUUGUAGUCUUACUCAGUGAUAUAAGCUUUAAUUGUGAUUAAAAAUGGAAUUAUUU